AAUUUAUAGUAAGAGGAAAAUCCGUCGAAUUUUAAAAUCGU
rnacentral:tRNA from 37 species